rnacentral:tRNA from 1 species
CAAAGUAUAACUAAAAUAGAAUAGUAUUUCAUUUACAUUGAAAUUGAUUAUCGUGCAAAUCGAUUUGCUUUGA